rnacentral:rRNA from 1 species
UUUGGUAAUGAUGGCGGAGGGGUUCCACACGUACCCAUCCCGAACACGACCGUUAAGCCCUCCAGCGCCGAUGGUACUUGGACCGCAGGGUCCUGGGAG